rnacentral:ncRNA from 1 species
CUACGGACUUAAUUGGAUUGAGCCUUGGUAUGAAAACUUACUAAGUGAUCACUUUCAAAUUCAGAGAAACCCUGGAAUUAACAAAAAUGGGCAAUCCUGAGCCAAAUCCUGUUUUACGAAAACAAACAAAGAUUCAGAAAAAAAGGAUAGGUGCAGAGACUCAAUGGAAGCUAUUCUAACAAAUGGAGUUAAAUGCGUUGGUAGAGGAAUCUUUACAUCGGAACUUCAGAAAGAAAAAGAAUGAAGUG